rnacentral:rRNA from 1 species
GAUGAACGCUAGCGGCGUGCCUAAUACAUGCAAGUCGAGCGAACUGAUUAGAAGCUUGCUUCUAUGACGUUAGCGGCGGACGGGUGAGUAACACGUGGGCAACCUGCCUGUAAGACUGGGAUAACUUCGGGAAACCGAAGCUAAUACCGGAUAGGAUCCUCUCCUUCAUGGGAGUUGAUUGAAAGAUGGUCUAGGCUAUCCCUUGCAGAGGUGACCGCGGUUCAUUAGCUAGUUGGUGAGGUAACUGCGCACCAAGACAACGAUGCAUAGACGACCUGAGAGGGUGAUCGGCCACACUGGGACUGAGCCACGGCCCAGACUCCUACGGGAGGCAGCAGUAGGGAAUCUUCCGCAAUGGACGAAAGUCUGACGGAGCAACGCCGCGUGAGUGAUGAAGGCUUUCGGGUCGUAAAACUCUGUUGUUAGGGAAGAACAAGUACAAGAGUAACUGCUCGUACCUUGACGGUACCUAACCAGAAAGCCACGGCUAACUACGUGCGAGCCGCCGCGGUAAUAC